rnacentral:lncRNA from 1 species
GUGCCCUUAGUUCUUUUUUGUAGGGAGCUAUGCUUAUCAUCAGAAACUCUUGGUGAUGAUGUUAUUCCUCAUUUGGUUCAUGUGUUGCAAUUAUAUACCACAUAAUUCUACACCAUGUGGUGGACUGAAGUAUCUUAGUGACUUCAUUUGAUGUGUGUAUUUGUGUUAAUUUUAAGCUUAUGUUGCUGUGAAAAUGUACCUCACUGACCGUCUGUCUAUUUAUUGUGUACUUCUUGCAUGAGGAGGUGAUUAGUGAUGCAGCGCGCCAAGCAGCAGUAGGGGAAGGGGGUCUCCUGAUCAAGGAGGCGGAGGAGUAGGGGCGUGCCCAGCCGGCAGCCCUGUCCUGCUCGUGGGGGAGGGGCAGGAGGGGUCGGCUCCUCUGCUUCCAUUGCGACCGCGGCAGGUAGCUCCGCUAUCUCCCUCCCCCUCUUCCCGUGCUCACUACUUCUGCUGCUAGGUUGACGAAUAUGUGAUGCACUUGUCCCAAGGAAUUUUAGAGGGAUCUGUAUGAACUAGUCAUGUUUUUAUUUUAUUUUAUUUAGGUUGUUAGUUACCAAACAGAGAGGGAAGAUGAGCUCCUGCUCGGAUUUUUUUCUGCCAGCACAUGAUUUGUAUGUAUGCAAUCAUCAUCUGAUUUGAUGCUACCUUGUCGUUCAUGCUGUGUGCAUUGAUUCCCACAAACUAUAACCUGAUUUGAUUCCACCUUGUCUUUUUUUCAAUUGAUAUUUUUCUCAUCCAACACUCUAACAAUAAAUGUGUUUUUUAAUCCUGAUGAUGAUGUAGUAGUAUAAGGUGAACAUCAUAUUCCUCUUUUAACCCAAAAUGAAUAAUUUUGUUUCAUCAUGUCCUAGUUUACCCAAGUCAGAUGUUUUUGGUUUGUACUUUGGACCCUGUGUGUUUCUCACAUGAACUAGUGUUGUUGUAACAUGAACUUUAGUAGGUCGCUGCUAUCUAAAUGUGAUCAUUGCAAGGAGGAACCAUUAUUUGGCUUCAUCCCUUACUCAUUUGAUCAUUUUUAUGGCCCAUAUGCAUUCUACGUGUUGCCUAACUUGGCAUGACAUGCACGAAAACUAUUUGGGCAUCCAUAUUCUAGCUCUUCUUAAUUUUCAUGCAUGUUUCUUUCCAGACUUGAUCUUACUACUAAAUAGCUCAUCUGUUGUUUUCUGUUUUCUUGUUGACAGAUAUUUUGAGUAAAUUCAAGACGAAAGAUGUUGAAAGAAGCUCCAAGACAUUCUUAUAUAGCAAGUUCUCUAAUAAUAGCUGGGUUAUCUGGGAAUUUAAUGUAUCUUCUCUCUAUUUGUGAAUGAAAUAGUAAUUAUGUAUGUGAUUUAAUGUAUCUUCUCUCUCUUUGUGAAUGAAAUAGUAAUUAUGUAUGUGAUUUGAAAAUGUGUGCAAUGGAAACAUGACUAAUGCGACCCACUUAUCAAAAUAAUUUGAGCACAUUUGAAAUUUCUGACGUGUGGGACCAGUGUAUGAUAUUAU